CGGGCCCAUUUCCACGCGCCUGUGGGCACCGGGCCUCAACGGGCCACGCCGCCACCUGCUGCUGCGUCCCCAGUGAGGGGAAGGAUCAUCUCCAGGCCUCCCGCCUCCGCUCCUGCAUCCUCCCUAUCCUCCCAGGCCUGCUGGGCUGAGGCCAAGUCUUUUCCGGGGGCCCCCUCCCCAGCGCUGAAGGGGAGGUGGAGGGAGGAGCUCCGACCGCAGCCGCCCGGCCUCCUCCUCCCCUCGCCCCAGCUCCCCCUCCCCUCCCUUCCCCUCGGCUGCCGCAGCCCGGUUCGUCGCGCGUCAGCGUGGGCUCCCCGGAGCGAGUCGCUAGGUAACGGGGCUGGCUCCGCAGACCCGCGGCCGGGGAAGCCCGCGCGCGCCGUCAGCAGCCGCGCCGCGGGGCGGGGGCCGGGGCGCACGGAACCUCACCCAGCGGGGCUGCAGACCCCGACUCGCACGCUGCCCCCUCCCAGGAUGCCCUAACCCGCGCCGAUCGCCACCGCCCAGGUGCCCCUCCCUCGCAGGGACCCCGACACCGCCGGCCCCUUCUCCUCACCACCCCCCCCAGCCUGUGCGCACCGCUCUGCGCGCGGCCGGGUGGGCGCCCCACUGCCGCGGUCGCCGUCGCCGCUGGUCCUCCCGCCGAGCCCCUGCGCGGGGCAUGAGGAGCCCCGGGGCGCCGCCCGGAGACGACCCGGCUGCGCGCACUCUUCGCCAGCGGCGGACGGGGACAUGAGCGGCGCGCACGGGGUCCGGCGUCCGGCUGCCAGCCCCAGCCGGCGGCGGCCAGCGGGUCCGCGCUGCCCGGGAGAAUGAGGCAGGAGCCAGCGGCAGCCUCCUCCUUCUCCUCCUCCUCUUCGCCCUCUUUCGGCUCCGGCGCCCCGGCCGGGCUGUGGCUCUGCUGCGUGCCCCGCGCGCCCCCCGCCCGCCUCCGGAUGCGCUGCUCGGAAAUUUUUGCUGCCGAGAAGAAUCGGAAGUGACUCAAGGCCCGCAGGGAAGGGGCCAUCCUCCAGGAGCUCCUUACAGCUCUGAGGCUGUGGGGCUGCUCUCGCCCCAUGUGAGCCCUGAUUUCUCAAGCUGCAUGAAUACUCCUGAGGGCACAGAUUGCUUCCGGAAAGACCCCAGGAUGCCCCUGGCUGCCGGUGGAGCUGAGUGUUGGGUGCUUAGCAGAUGUGUAGUUAUGAAGAUUAGAAGACCCUCUUGUUGGGGCGCCUGGGUGGCACAGCGGUUAAGCGUCUGCCUUCGGCUCAGGGUGUGAUCCCGGCGUUCUGGGAUCGAG
rnacentral:lncRNA from 1 species